CAGCAGCCGCGGUAAUACGGAGGGGGCUAGCGUUGUUCGGAAUUACUGGGCGUAAAGCGCACGUAGGCGGCUUGGUAAGUUAGAGGUGAAAGCCUGGAGCUCAACUCCAGAAUUGCCUUUAAGACUGCCGAGCUAGCAGGUGAGAGAGGUAAGUGGAAUUCCGAGUGUAGAGGUGAAAUUCGUAGAUAUUCGGAAGAACACCAGUGGCGAAGGCGGCUUACUGGCUCAUACUGGACGCUGAGGUGCGAAAGCGUGGGGAGCAAACAGGAUUAGAGACCCCAGUAGUCCCUGUCUCUUAUAC
rnacentral:rRNA from 1 species